rnacentral:tRNA from 1 species
AAGAGCGUAGUAUCAAUGGUUAGUAUAAUGAUCUCCAAAAUCACUGGUAGGUGUUCGAAUCGCCUCGCUCUUG